GGGGCGGCGCCUGGGCCACGGUGCGUGGGUGGAGGCGGGGAUGCGCCUGUGGGGGAGCAGAGAAGGCCGCGCGCGCGCCCGCGGGACGCCCUAGAUCAAGCGGAGGCCAAGCCGUUGUGCUGCCUGUGUGUGUCCUGGGAGGAUUUAGGGCAUUGGCUGGCACUGGACGCCCCUGGGGAACCUUCUUAUCUUUCCGCAGUCAGCUCUUUUCAGUGCCUCACCGUAGAGUCAGAGGCAGAGCCAGGCCUGGACGUAGCCAUGAGCAAGACCAUUGCAAAAGGACACACACCCGCUGGACAGCUGGCAUUUGGCCAAUGCAUCCCUCAGCCCAGCCCAUAAAACACUGAAGCCCUGCUUCUGUCCUUUGUCCUCCUCACAGCCAUGCCAGGAAAAUGCUAGCAUCCUCAAAACGGACUAAAUGGCCCCAAGAUUGUUCUGUAGACCAGGCAGUGCUUGGGUGAGAAAUGAGAACUAAAUAUUCAUCUCAGUCCCUGCACAUGAACCAAAACUGGAAGAAAAGAAACGUCAAGGUCUUGCAGUGGAAGAUGGAGAACCUGGUGGCACACUCAUACGAUGGAACAUGGUCCAGAAAUAAAACAAACAUCCAGAUGUACUGGAUGGAAAAACAAAGAGGUACUGCCUUGGUGUGGGUAGUUUGAGAGUCAUCCAAGAGUUCUGGUCCUCAGUGUAGUGACAUUUGAAAGUGCUGUGGAUCUUGUCAGAGUCCUUAGAUCAUGGAGGUUUGACCUCAGGGAUUGGAAGACCCCAGUUUCUCUGCUUCCUGACUGAAGAUAGGGCUCUUCCUGACAAAUGCUCCUGCCACUGCCAUGUGCCAUUCACCGCGAAGUCCUCACCAGAACUAACUGCAAGUACAGGGCUCCCAGGGGGAACUCAAAUUUCUUCUCUUUGUAAAGUUGAUUGUUACAGGAUUUCACUGUAGCAAUGCAAAGUUCCAUCCUACAUAACUGCAUUCUUGAAUCAGCAAAAUUACAGAAAAAAAGGGACUAGAUGAGUGGUUCGGGGGGGGGUGGAGUGACAGGAUGGGUGGGAGGUGAUGUGGGGCUGGGGUGGUGCAAGUGCCCCAAACCUUAACUGCAUCGAUGCCAACUCCCUGGGUUUGCAAAACUACUGGGGGAACAAAGUAAGGGUAUGUGGGAGUUCUUUGUAUUAUUUAUUACAACUUUAAUAUGAAUCUGUAUCCAUCUCAAAAAAAUUGAAUUACACAGUUAAAAAACAAACAUGCAAACAGGCCUAAUGUAACACUCUCUGAGUGGACACAGCUUGCUACUACCUCAGUAGUUGUUUUGAGGUAAUCAGGACAUUUUCUGCAGCAGAAAACAGCAAUUUAAUGGGAAAAUGCUUUCCGUUGCCCUUAAACAUAUCCCCCUCCCUGGGUCUCGAUCACCGACAGACCUGAUUAAGCACUGUUUCUGGGGACAUUGGUAGGAGCUGCUCCCCACUUCUCUGUGUGGUGUUUCUGAUUCCUGUCAUUGGGACCCUUUCCCUGGGCAUCAGGUCUUUGGCUGGCACACAGAGAGGCAGGAGGGGACAGGAGUGAUAGUUAUACCCCAGGCACAGAGUCCCUCAGGGACAGGAGAGACAAUCUGAGUGAGAUGGUUGUCUCUCAGAUCCAUUAGAAAACAUUUCCUGGAAUUUAUUAUCAGUGCCCGCCAAACUUCUGUCAUUUCCUAGCACCCUAAACAAAAUUUCUUUUACACUAUAAGUGCCACCUGUACUGUCAUUUCCUACUUGUCUUUAAAGCAAAAUGUUUGCAUAUAUUUAUAUAGGAAAUAAACUUUGCUGCUUCUGUAAGUAAAAAAAAAAAAAAUCAGUAGCAGUUGCCAAAAUAGAAGUAGGCAUAAAAUAAAUACAAGGAAAUAAAGGGUUGACAUCCAAUUACACUGACAUGACAGUUCCUACUAAAGCCUUGGCACUCAAGGCCCGUUCUCAGGGCCUCUAGUUGGAAGAGGUCCAGCACAGCUGGUGACCAAGAUACCACCAAGCUGUCCUGGGCCUUUCUUUUGCACAUAGAUGGACCAAGAUAGUCUUAAAGACAACUGACAGCCAGGCAUAGUGGCAUAUGCCUGUAAUCCCCAUACUCAGGAGGCUGAAACCGAAAGUUUGCCACAAGUUCAAGGCCAGCCUGGGGUGCUGUAUUUAGCAUGUCCCGGGCCAACCUGUACUACAUAACAAAACCUUAUCUCAAAAGAAAGACAAAAAUAAAUGAAAAGAGACAAUGGACUUUUUCCUGUGAUGUGUCGUCAUAUUGGAGCCUAUGCACUAUGUUUUUGUCACAGUUUAGUAACUUUUAAAAAUCAUUUUUUCAUUGGAGAACCUCAGUCACAAAAGCAGAUAAGGUAGUAUACAAAAAGCCAAUGACUUUCCAGUCCUGCAGCCACAACCCAAGCCACUUCUGUUCCUUCUAUAGAUGGAGUUCUACCCCAUUUUGUUUUGAAAGAAACCCAAAACAUCCUAUCAUUUCAUCUUAUUGAUUAUACGUAAAUAAUUAACACUAAUUGCUUAGUCAUAAAAUACCAAGAAAGAGUUCAAAUUUUCAACUGUCUCAGAAAUGCCCUGAUUUAUUUUUUUGGUUUGUGUGUUAAGAAUCAGAGCUAGUGAGUUGGUGCCAUGCAUGGGUUGACUGGGAGCGAGCCAGAUGCCAGCCUUCUCCUAUGAGUCUGUGCCAUUCAUGGACUGUGGGGGAGGCGAACAAGAAGUCAACAAGAAGCUAAGACCUCCUGUGAGUCGGCACCUUGCACAGACUGACUUUGGGAAAGCCAGACACCAGCCUCUUCCAGUGGGCAAGCAGGAAAACAAGAAAAGCCAACAUUCCUCCCCACCCACCCUGCAUAGGCAACUGGCUGAUGUGGAGAAACACAAGCUGUAAUAAUAGUUAAUGAGGUAAAACACAACUUGAUGCUUAUAGUGUUUAGCGUUCCACUCGCUUUGCAGGCCUAAAGCCUGUGCUCUGAUCAUCUAUUCAGAGGAUAACCGUACACAGCAUAGCUUCUAUGGGGAAUCUCUUUCUGAAAGUAGUAGCCAUUGUAAUUUGCUAUUAUCUUGUUUGGAACUCCUGUAUCAUUCUCACUGUUUUGUUUGGUUGGAUUUUGUUCUGUUCUAUCUUGUUUGAUUUUGUUGUAUCUGAUGGCAUGGGCAGCUAUUUUGAAGAUAGCAAGAUAUAUAUGGUAGCUAUUUUGGAUUUACUAUCUUGUUUUGAAAUCCUUAUUUCAUUCAUUAUUUUGUUUGUAUUGGUUCUUUUCUGUUUCUGUUUUGUUUGAUUUUAUUAUGUCUGAAGGUAUGGGCAGCUAUUUUGAAGAAACAAGAGGCAUUAUGAUAACCAAUGUUGAUUUCCAUUGUCUUGUUUUGAAAACCUGUGUCACUUACACUGUCUUGUUUUUUAUUGAUUUUAUUCUGUUUUAUUCUCUCUAAAAUAAAAUUUAAAAAAAGGGGUGUAGCACACCAGGGGUGUAGCACCAGCUAAAUGGGAGGCCAAGGCCAGAAAAUCACUUGAGCCCAAGAGUUUGUGGUCAAUCUGGGAAACAAAGCAAAACCUGCCUCAAAAAGAAUCAGGAUCUGUGCUGGACAUGGCACACACCUAUAAUCCUAUCCAGAAACUGAAGUAGGAGAAUUGCUUCAAGUUUAAGGCCAGUUUGGGCUACAUAGUGAGGUCAAGGCUGGCUUGAAUUGCAUAGCAAGACCCUGACUCAAAAAAAAAAAAUUAGGAUCCAAGUAAGAUUCACACCUUGUAAUGGAUGGAAAUAGCUCUUUCUCCCCCUUGCAAUUUAUGUAUUAUCCCUUUGUCUGUGGAACAGGUGUUUUCCUUUCAGAACAGCCCCAAGCUCAGUCCUGCCUUCUCUGGACCUCACGCUGUAGUCCUUGCAUGUAGUAUCACAGUAGUGAUAGUGGCUUCCUCACCGAGUACCUGGUUGCUUUGCUUGUACAUGUGUGUGCAUGUGUGUGUUUGGUUUGUUUUGUUUCGGUGCUGUGAUCAAAGUUGGAACCUUAAUAUGUACAUGCCAGGGAAGUACUCUGCCACUGAGCUGCAUCCCUACUCUGAUUCUGGAGUUUUGCCCCUGGAAACAGGGAUGCCCACUGUGGGCCACCAGAAUCUUCUCCGAGCAGGAAACCUCAGCUUAGUGGAAAAUACAAAGGAAGAAGAAAACUGUGUUGGAAUGGCUUCCGCCUUGGCAAAGUCCCUUCUAGAACCUUAUCAUGCUUACAGUAAUGGCACCAUUUAAUUACAGAAAUUGUUCUGCUUAUCGGUGCCCAGACAUGCUGACUCCCGAGGGAGCUAUGUUUUGUAUUUGCACUGAUUCUCACUGCAGACAGUUUUCUUACAUUUGCCACAUUUGCAUUCUGCUAGAAACUGGUGAGCGUUUGCUUUAGCCCGUGAACGCUCCGCCUGUGUCCUUCUUCCGUGAAGGUAUCACUCAAGAGACAGCUGCAGAAUAAGCAUUGCAGCCAACUAGCAGCACCUUUGGCCUGCUUGAAUUCCAGGCACACAUGUGCUGCCCAGCUGCCCAUUGCAGCCCUGGCUGGGCACUCAGGAGUACUGAAAGAUUCCGAACUGCCCUAGCAGCUUGGCAGAUCUCAUAGUUCAUGUUCUCAAGGAUUCAUUUUCAUACCAAGUUAAUGAGGUUCUGGGAUGUGCAGACAGCUGAGAAAUCAUUGUUCCUCAUGUCUGUGAGCAUCUCAGUGGAAGAGGUUUUGAAUCUACACUGGGUAAAGAGGAUCUACCCUCACCAAUAUCAUCUAAUGCAUCAUCUAAUGCAUUAAAGGCCCGAAUGGAACAAAGAGGUAGAAAAAGAGCAAAUUCAUUCUGCUGGAGGUGGGCCAUCUGCAUUCUGCUGCCCUGGAUACCGGAACUCCUGACUCCAGGACUCCAGACACUGAGACACGUGGCCAGUCUCCUUGCCCCACCCCCAACUCUUCUGAUCUGGCUGUGAGUUGCCACUGUUGGCUCAGCCUUGAACUGAUGGAUGCUACAACUUUCCUGCUUUUCUGCUUGCUGGUGGCAGAUGGUAGGACUUGUCAGCCUCCACAGUUACAUGAGCAAAUUCCCAUAAUAAACAAGUAAAUAAAUACGUGCAUGUG